CCAGGCUGCGCAGCGCAGCCGCUAUCGGGCGGACUGCAGUUCUUGCCGAGCAGGGGAGCAGGAGAGUCAGUCUAAGAAGGAAAUGUGAUGAUGGAAACAGAGGUUGGAAGAUGGAAGAGGACCCAGAGUCAAGGAAUGCAGGUAGAAAAGAAAAGCCUGGAUUCUCCCCUAAAGCCUCCAGAUGGAACACAGCCCUGCCUCCACCUUGAUUUCAGGACUUCUUACCCCAAGAAUCAUGUCAGUACCAUGGAAUGACAUGACCAACAAUAAUAUGUUGCAACUCUGAGAUACAGCUAGAAAUUCUCCGAAUAAGAUGCUGAUGGUCCUGCAGUCCAAUGCUGUGUGAUUUUCACUGUGGCCAGCUAUACAAGACUUAGCGUAUACUUCUCUCUGUGUAACUGUAAAAAAUUUUGUAAGUCUAAGAGGGUAAUAUAUUCUUUCAUAAAACCUCAAUCUAGUGAGUUCUAAUCAUUCUUGAUCUUUCUCAAAUAAAUACUAGUCAAAUCUUUCCCAAUAACUAAGUAACUAAGCAUUCACGUUUUACAACUGUAAUGUAGUUUUGGUAUGAGAAAACUAUUUCCUGGUCUCCAGGAUCUAGAAAGUAAACAUGUAACAAACAAUUAGGAAUGUGGUAUCGGGUAGUCAGAUGUUCUACACGUCUCCAGCCUAAGCUGUCCACUUCGGAUUUCUUGCUCUUUUCCUUUUUGCUUAAGCAUAUCUUGGUAUGUUGCCUGGAAGUUUAUGUGUGUUACUACAGCAGAACAAAGAAUUAUGUAAUAUAAAGCCCAACUUGUUUUUCUUUUCCCUACCAGCUGUACUAUAACUUAGACAAAACUCAACCAUUUUCUUUCAUUAUGUACAGUGGCUAUUAAAAAGAAAGGAUGUAGAAAAAUUUUUUUCAGGAAACAGUGGAAAACUAAUGCGUCAUGAUCUGCUUAACAGGGGACUGUAAAUAGAAGCAAGUCCAGAUCAUGGAAAUUGCUUCUUUAAAAUAUUUUUUUUCAAUUUUAAAAGGAAUACAUUCACAUGGUUUAAAAAAACCCCUCAAACUAAAGAAGAAUACAGAAUAAGAAGUAAAAGUUCUACCCUCCAACCUACUACCCCAACUCCUGAAUCCCACUGCCAAGAGAAACAGUCAUUUGUUGUGCAUCUUUCUAGAAGAAUUCUAUGCAUAUUACAGAGGUGUCACAAAUACCCACAUGCUUUCUUCCCUUACAAGCUCUGUGACUUGAUUUUUCUCUUUACUGUGCUUUAAGCAUCUUUGCAUAUUAGUAAACAUAUACACCUCAGUUAAAAAAAAUCAACAGCUGGGUGUAGUGGUGCAUACCUGUAGUCCCAGCAAUUUGGGAGGCAGAGAGGCAGGAAGAUCCCCUGAGCCCAGGAAUUCUAAUCUACCCUGGGCAUCUUGGCAAGACCCUGUCUCUUAAGAAAAAAAC
rnacentral:lncRNA from 1 species